rnacentral:rRNA from 1 species
GACGAACGCUGGCGGCGUGCUUAACACAUGCAAGUCGAACGGAAAGGCCCUGCUUUUGUGGGGUGCUCGAGUGGCGAACGGGUGAGUAACACGUGAGUAACCUGCCCUUGACUUUGGGAUAACUUCAGGAAACUGGGGCUAAUACCGGAUAGGAGCUCCUGCUGCAUGGUGGGGGUUGGAAAGUUUCGGCGGUUGGGGAUGGACUCGCGGCUUAUCAGCUUGUUGGUGGGGUAGUGGCUUACCAAGGCUUUGACGGGUAGCCGGCCUGAGAGGGUGACCGGCCACAUUGGGACUGAGAUACGGCCCAGACUCCUACGGGAGGCAGCAGUGGGGAAUAUUGCACAAUGGGCGGAAGCCUGGUGCAGCAACGCCGCGUGCGGGAUGACGGCCUUCGGGUUGUAAACCGCUUUCGCCUGUGACGAAGCGUGAGUGACGGUAAUGGGUAAAGAAGCACCGGCUAACUACGUGCCAGCAGCCGCGGUGAUACGUAGGGUGCGAGCGUUGUCCGGAUUUAUUGGGCGUAAAGGGCUCGUAGGUGGUUGAUCGCGUCGGAAGUGUAAUCUUGGGGCUUAACCCUGAGCGUGCUUUCGAUACGGGUUGACUUGAGGAAGGUAGGGGAGAAUGGAAUUCCUGGUGGAGCGGUGGAAUGCGCAGAUAUCAGGAGGAACACCAGUGGCGAAGGCGGUUCUCUGGGCCUUUCCUGACGCUGAGGAGCGAAAGCGUGGGGAGCGAACAGGCUUAGAUACCCUGGUAGUCCACGCUGUAAACGGUGGGUACUAGGUGUGGGGUCCAUUCCACGGGUUCCGUGCCGUAGCUAACGCUUUAAGUACCCCGCCUGGGGAGUACGGCCGCAAGGCUAAAACUCAAAGGAAUUGACGGGGCCCCGCACAAGCGGCGGAGCAUGCGGAUUAAUUCGAUGCAACGCGUAGAACCUUACCUGGGUUUGACAUGGAUCGGGAGUGCUCAGAGAUGGGUGUGCCUCUUUUGGGGUCGGUUCACAGGUGGUGCAUGCCUGUCGUCAGCUCGUGUCGUGAGAUGUUGGGUUAAGUCCCGCAACGAGCGCAACCCUUGUUCACUGUUGCCAGCACGUUAUGGUGGGGACUCAGUGGAGACCGCCGGGGUCAACUCGGAGGAAGGUGGGGAUGACGUCAAGUCCUCAUGCCCCUUAUGUCCAGGGCUUCACGCAUGCUACAAUGGCUGGUACAGAGAGUGGCGAGCCUGUGAGGGUGAGCGAAUCUCGGAAAGCCGGUCUCAGUUCGGAUUGGGGUCUGCAACUCGACCUCAUGAAGUCGGAGUCGCUAGUAAUCGCAGAUCAGCAACGCUGCGGUGAAUACGUUCCCGGG